rnacentral:rRNA from 1 species
UCCUACGGGUGGCAGCAGUGAGGAAUAUUGGGCAAUGGACGCAAGUCUGACCCAGCCAUGCCGCGUGAAGGAUGAAGGCGUUCUGCGUUGUAAACUUCUUUUAUCUGGGAAGAAACCUCCGAUUUCUAUUGGAGCCGACGGUACCAGAGGAAUAAGCACCGGCUAACUCCGUGCCAGCAGCCGCGGUAAUACGGAGGGUGCAAGCGUUAUCCGGAUUCACUGGGUUUAAAGGGUGUGUAGGCGGGCUAUUAAGUCAGUGGUGAAAUCUCCGAGCUUAACUUGGAAACUGCCAUUGAUACUAUUAGUCUUGAAUUCUGUUGAGGUGGGCGGAAUACAUCAUGUAGCGGUGAAAUGCUUAGAUAUGAUGUAGAACACCGAUUGCGAAGGCAGCUCACUAAACAGAGAUUGACGCUGAGGCACGAAAGCGUGGGGAUCAAACAGGAUUAGAUACCCUAGUAGUC